rnacentral:rRNA from 1 species
UUCCGGUUGAUCCUGCCGGACCUGACUGCUAUCGGAUUGAUACUAAGCCAUGCGAGUCUUUGUAGUAAUACAAGGCAGACGGCUCAGUAACACGUAGUCAACCUACCCUAUGGACGAGGAUAAUCUCGGGAAACUGAGGAUAAUACUCGAUAGAUCAUAAUGCCUGGAAUGGUUUAUGGUUAAAAUGAUUCGUCGCCAUAGGAUGGGACUGCGGCCUAUCAGCUUGUUGGUGAGGUAAUGGCCCACCAAGGCGAUUACAGGUACGGGCUCUGAGAGGAGAAGCCCGGAGAUGGGUACUGAGACAAGGACCCAGGCCCUAUGGGGCGCAGCAGGCGAGAAAACUUUGCAAUGUGCGAAAGCACGACAAGGUUAAUCCGAGUGAUUUCUGCUAAAGAGAUCUUUUACCAGUCAUAAAACCACUGGUGAAUAAGGGGUGGGCAAGUUCUGGUGUCAGCCGCCGCGGUAAAACCAGCACCUCAAGUGGUCAGGAUGAUUAUUGGGCCUAAAGCAUCCGUAGCCGGCUCUGUAAGUUUUCGGUUAAAUCCAUGUGCUCAACGCAUGGGCUGCCGAAAAUACUGCAUAGCUAGGGAGUGGGAGAGGUAGACGGUACUCAGUAGGAAGGGGUAAAAUCCUUUGAUCUAUUGAUGACCACCUGUGGCGAAGGCGGUCUACCAGAACACGUUCGACGGUGAGGGAUGAAAGCUGGGGGAGCAAACCGGAUUAGAUACCCGGGUAGUCCCAGCUGUAAACGAUGCAGACUCGAUGAUGCAUUGGCAUAUAGCCAGUGCAGUGUCGCAGGAAGCCGUUAAGUCUGCCGCCUGGGAAGUACGUACGCAAGUAUGAAACUUAAAGGAAUUGGCGGGGGAGCACCACAAGGGGUGAAGCCUGCGGUUCAAUUGGAUUCAACGCCGGG